rnacentral:rRNA from 1 species
UGAGGAAUAUUGGUCAAUGGACGAGAGUCUGAACCAGCCAAGUAGCGUGAAGGAUGACUGCCCUAUGGGUUGUAAACUUCUUUUAUAUGGGAAUAAAGUGAGCCACGUGUGGCUUUUUGUAUGUACCAUACGAAUAAGGAUUGGCUAACUCCGUGCCAGCAGCCGCGGUAAUACGGAGGAUCCGAGCGUUAUCCGGAUUUAUUGGGUUUAAAGGGAGCGUAGGCGGACUAUUAAGUCAGCUGUGAAAGUUUGCGGCUCAACCGUAAAAUUGCAGUUGAUACUGGUCGUCUUGAGUGCAGUAGAGGUAGGCGGAAUUCGUGGUGUAGCGGUGAAAUGCUUAGAUAUCACGAAGAACUCCGAUUGCGAAGGCAGCUUACUGGACUGUAACUGACGCUGAUGCUCGAAAGUGUGGGUAUCAAACAGGAUUAGAUACCCUGGUAGUCCACACAGUAAACGAUGAAUACUCGCUGUUUGCGAUAUACGGCAAGCGGCCAAGCGAAAGCAUUAAGUAUUCCACCUGGGGAGUACGCCGGCAACGGUGAAACUCAAAGGAAUUGACGGGGGCCCGCACAAGCGGAGGAACAUGUGGUUUAAUUCGAUGAUACGCGAGGAACCUUACCCGGGCUUAAAUUGCAAAUGAAUAUAGUGGAAACAUUAUAGCCGCAAGGCAUUUGUGAAGGUGCUGCAUGGUUGUCGUCAGCUCGUGCCGUGAGGUGUCGGCUUAAGUGCCAUAACGAGCGCAACCCUUAUCUUUAGUUACUAACAGGUUAUGCUGAGGACUCUAGAGAGACUGCCGUCGUAAGAUGUGAGGAAGGUGGGGAUGACGUCAAAUCAGCACGGCCCUUACGUCCGGGGCUACACACGUGUUACAAUGGGGGGUACAGAAGGCAGCUACACAGCGAUGUGAUGCUAAUCCCAAAAGCCUCUCUCAGUUCGGAUUGGAGUCUGCAACCCGACUCCAUGAAGCUGGAUUCGCUAGUAAUCGCGCAUCAGCCACGGCGCGGUGAAUACGUUCCC